CAGGGAUUGCCCCAGUAACGGCGAGUGAAGCGGCAACAGCUCAAAUUUGAAAUCUGGCCCCUAGGGUCCGAGUUGUAAUUUGUAGAGGAUGCUUUUGGUGAGGUGCCGCCCGAGUUCCCUGGAACGGGACGCCGCAGAGGGUGAGAGCCCCGUCUGGCUGGCCACCGAGCCUCUGUAAAGCUCCUUCGACGAGUCGAGUAGUUUGGGAAUGCUGCUCAAAAUGGGAGGUAUAUGUCUUCUAAAGCUAAAUAUUGGCCAGAGACCGAUAGCGCACAAGUAGAGUGAUCGAAAGAUGAAAAGCACCUUGAAAAGAGGGUUAAACAGUACGUGAAAUUGUUGAAAGGGAAGCGCUUGUGACCAGACUUGGGCGCGGCGGAUCAUCCGGGGUUCUCCCCGGUGCACUUCGCCGUGUUCAGGCCAGCAUCAGUUCGGCGCGGGGGAAAAAGGCUUCGGGAACGUGGCUCCUCCGGGAGUGUUAUAGCCCGUUGCAUAAUACCCUGCGCUGGACUGAGGACCGCGCAUCUGCAAGGAUGCUGGCGUAAUGGUCACCAGCGACCCGUCUUGAAACACGGACCAAGGAGUCGUCUUCGUAUGCGAGUGUUCGGGUGUCAAACCCCUACGCGUAAUGAAAGUGAACGCAGGUGAGAGCUUCGGCGCAUCAUCGACCGAUCUUGAUGUUCUCGGAUGGAUUUGAGUAAGAGCAUACGGGGCCGGACCCGAAAGAAGGUGAACUAUGCCUGUAUAGGGUGAAGCCAGAGGAAACUCUGGUGGAGGCUCGCAGCGGUUCUGACGUGCAAAUCGAUCGUCAAAUAUGGGCAUGGGGGCGAAAGACUAAU
rnacentral:rRNA from 1 species